rnacentral:misc_RNA from 1 species
CUGGCGCGUGCAGAUGGUUCUG